rnacentral:rRNA from 1 species
GUGCCAGCAGCCGCGGUAAUACGGAGGGGGCUAGCGUUGUUCGGAAUUACUGGGCGUAAAGCGCACGUAGGCGGCUUUGUAAGUUAGAGGUGAAAGCCUGGAGCUCAACUCCAGAACUGCCUUUAAGACUGCAUCGCUUGAAUCCAGGAGAGGUGAGUGGAAUUCCGAGUGUAGAGGUGAAAUUCGUAGAUAUUCGGAGACACCAGUGGCGAAGCGGCUCACUGGACUGGUAUNGACGCUGAGNGNCGAAAGCGUGGGGAGCAAACAGGAUUAGAUACCCUGGUAGUCC